GUAGGUGGCAAGCGUUGUCCGGAAUUAUUGGGCGUAAAGCGCGCGCAGGCGGUUCUUUAAGUCUGAUGUGAAAGCCCACGGCUCAACCGUGGAGGGUCAUUGGAAACUGGAGAACUUGAGUACAGAAGAGGAAAGCGGAAUUCCACGUGUAGCGGUGAAAUGCGUAGAGAUGUGGAGGAACACCAGUGGCGAAGGCGGCUUUCUGGUCUGUAACUGACGCUGAGGCGCGAAAGCGUGGGGAGCAAACAGGGAUUAGAUACCCUGGUAGUCCACGCCGUAAACGAUGAGUGCUAAGUGUUAGGGGGGGUUUCCGCCCCCUUAGUGCUGCAGCUAACGCAUUAAGCACUCCGCCUGGGGAGUACGGCCGCAAGGCUG
rnacentral:rRNA from 1 species